GAUGAACGCUGGCGGCGUGCCUAAUACAUGCAAGUCGAGCGAACAGACGAGGAGCUUGCUCCUUUGACGUUAGCGGCGGACGGGUGAGUAACACGUGGGUAACCUACCUAUAAGACUGGGAUAACUUCGGGAAACCGGAGCUAGUACCGGAUAAUAUUUCGAACCGCAUGGUUCGAUAGUGAAAGAUGGCUUUGCUAUCACUUAUAGAUGGACCUGCGCCGUAUUAGCUAGUUGGUAAGGUAACGGCUUACCAAGGCAACGAUACGUAGCCGACCUGAGAGGGUGAUCGGCCACACUGGAACUGAGACACGGUCCAGGCUCCUACGGGAGGCAGCAGUAGGGAAUCUUCCGCAAUGGGCGAAAGCCUGACGGAGCAACGCCGCGUGAGUGAUGAAGGUCUUCGGAUCGUAAAACUCUGUUAUUAGGGAAGAACAAACGUGUAAGUAACUGUGCACGUCUUGACGGUACCUAAUCAGAAAGCCACGGCUAACUACGUG
rnacentral:rRNA from 1 species